AAUAUUCGACAAUGGGGGCAACCCUGAUCCAGCCACGCCGCGUGUGUGAAGAAGGUCUUCGGAUUGUAUAGCACUUUAAGUUGGGAGGAAGGGCCUUAAGCUAAUACCCUGAAGUUUUGACGUUACCACCAGAACAAGCACCGGCUAACCCUGCGCCAGCAGCCGCGGUAAUACAGAGGUAGCAAGAGUUAAUCGGAAUUACUGGGCGUAACGCGCGCGUAGGAGGUUCAGUAAGAUGGGUGUGAAAUCCCCGGGCUUAACCUGGGAACUGCUUUCAUAACUGCUGAGCUAGAGUACGGUAGAGGGUAGUGGAAUUUCCUGUGUAGCGGUGAAAUGCGUAGAUAUAGGAAGGAACACCAGUGGCGAAGGCGACUACCUGGACUGAUACUGACACUGAGGUGCGAAAGCGUGGGGAGCAAACA
rnacentral:rRNA from 1 species